UUGCAUCAUCCUAGAAAACUUGGAGGCCAGUGAGGACAAAAAUAAAAAGUUAUAAGACUUUAAAAAUGUGGAUAUUUGGGUCCUCUUUGGCGCCCCCUAGAACGUAGACCAUGGGGUGCAGCGUCAUGAUUUUUACAACUUUGAAUGGCCAUGGGGUGUAGAUUGGCCUGAGCAAAUUUGGUGUCAGUGGGACAAAAGCCUUAGGAGGAGUUAGCCACAUUCCAAUGUGUGCGAAUCGGCAAAAAAUGCGAAAUAGCACUUUAACCGUACAUUUUACAGAUACGCGCGCAUUGACUUUUUCGUAGAUCUUAUUGAGAUACACGUGAUUGUCAAAUUUUGUGUCAAUAUGACAAAGCGUACAGGCGUGACAUUCAACAAUGUGUAUUUUCACCUUAGGGGACAAGAAAAAAUUGACUUUUUUGUCCUGCCAUGGGGGGGCGCUCUUUUGGGGAGUAAAAAUUCCUUCACAAAUGUGUUGAUGGCUGGACAUUGCAUCAUCCUAGAAAACUUGGAGGCCAGUGAGGGCAAAAAUAAAAAGUUAUAAAACUUUUAAGAAUGUGGAUUUUAGGGUUAUUUUUGGCGCCCCCUAGAACCUAAACCAUGGGGUGCAGCAUCAUGAUUUGUACAACUUUGAAUGGCCAUGGAGUGUAGAUUGGCCUGAGCAAAUGUGGUGCCGGUGGACCGAAAGCCUUCGGAGGAGUUAGCGAAAUUCCAAUGUGUGCGGAUCUGCAAAAAAUGCAAAAUAACCCUUUAACCGUACAUUUGACAGAUACGCCCGCACUGACUUUUUUGUAGAUCUUAUUGAGAUACAUGUGUGUGUCAAUUUUUGUGUCAAUAUGACAAAGCGUACAGGCGUGACAGUCAAUAGUGUGAAUUUUCACCUUAGGGGGCGCUAUGGAGCCAUUUUGUAUUUUAUUGUUUGGGCGACUUCAGAAUAUCGAAUUUUUCACCAGGCCCGGUCGUCCUGCCAAAUUUCCUGAGUUUUCGCCAGUGGGAAGUGGGCCAUUUUCCAGUUUAAAGCGGAGGAAAAAUAAUAAUAACUAGGGCCCCGUUGGGGCACUGGCGGGCCCGAGCUGUGUCGCGCCCCCCCCCCCAACGCGCUGCCUCCCCGUCCCAUUCGCGUCCUCUGGCCAUCGUCCUCUCUGGUAACGCCCAUCACUGCAAAGACCCUUUUCCUUCAUCGGCGUUUGCUGUUCUUCCUGCCAGUGCGUGUGGCUUUCACUUGCACUUGCCACAGCCAGCCUCGUGAGUGCCUAGCCUAUUGGAUAUCACUGUCACCUACACAGGACAGUCAUUACCUUUCUAUUAAUACUUUGUUUUUUAAUUUCACAUUAAUUUCCAUAUUGUCUAAACGACUGGAAAAAACUUGAGCCCCUGCCCCUGUAUAAUCAUGUGCACGUCCCUGUUCUAGCUCCAAGGUGAAUCUUGACUGCUCAUGUUCUCCUCAGAAGCAGUCACCUCACUCCACUCAGGUUACUGUACACAUGCACCAACUGCCUGCUUCAGGUUUGGAUGGAGCUUCAUGGUUGUCUUUUGGAGAAAUGAGCAGUCAAGUUGUGUUUGAAAUUUGAUUUUUUUCAGGGGCAAAAGGAAGUCUCUGCAUUGUUGUCAAAUAUGUAAAUAGCAUGUUUUUGCAGGUGCUGAAAAACAGACUCUGAGUGUGUAUGUGUGUGUGUGUGUGUGUGUGUGUGUGUGUGUGUGUGUGUGUGUGUGUGUGUGCGUGUGUGUGUGUGUCUGUGUGUGUGUGUGUCUGUGUGUGUGUAUCCUGCAGUACUCUGUACUCCUGCAGUGGCCAAAACGACUUUUAAGAAUGUGGAUAUUUGGGUCAUCUUUGGCGCCCCCUAGAACGUAAACCAUGGGGUGCAGCGGCAUGGUUUUUACAACUUUGAAUGGCCAUGGGGUGUAGAUUGGCCUGAGCAAAUUUGGUGUCAGUGGGACGAAAGCCUUAGGAGGAGUUAGCCACAUUCCAAUGUGUGCGAAUCGGCAAAAAAUGCAAAAUAGCCGUUUAGCCGUACAUUUUACAGAUACGCGCGCAUUGACUUUUUCGUAGAUCUUAUUGAGAUACACGUGUGUGUCAAUUUUUUUGUCAAUAUGACAAAGCGUACAGGCGUGAAUCUCAACAAUGUGUAUUUUCACCUUAGGGGACAAGAAAAAAUUGACUUUUUUGUCCUGCCAUGGGGGGGCGCUCUUUUGGGGAGUAAAAAUUCCUUCACAAAUGUGUUGAUGGCUGGACAUUGCAUCAUCCUAGAAAACUUGGAGGCCAGUGAGGACAAAAAUAAAAAGUUAUAAAACUUUUAAGAAUGUGGAUUUUUGGGUUAUUUUUGGCGCCCCCUAGAACCUAAACCAUGGGGUGCAGCGUCAUGAUUUGUACAACUUUGAAUGGCCAUGGAGUGUAGAUUGGCCUUAGCAAAUGUGGUGCCGGUGGAACGAAAGCCUUCGGAGGAGUUAGCGAAAUUCCAAUGUGUGCGGAUCGGCAAAAAAUGCGAAAUAACCCUUUAACCGUACAUUUGACAGAUACGCCCGCACUGACUUUUUUGUAGAUCUUAUUGAGAUACAUGUGUGUGUCAAUUUUUGUGUCAAUAUGACAAAGCGUACAGGCGUGACAGUCAAUAGUGUGAAUUUUCACCUUAGGGGGCGCUAUGGAGCCAUUUUGCAUUUUAUUGUUUGGGUGACUUCAGAAUAUCGAAUUUUUCACCAGGCCCGGUCGUCCUGCCAAAUUUCAUGAGUUUUCGCCAGUGGGAAGUGGGCCAUUUUCCAGUUUAAAGCGGAGGAAAAAUAAUAAUAAUAACAAAAGAAGAAUCCAUCAGGAACAAGAGGGCUCUCGCAGCUGCUUAGCAGCUACGCUCGGGCCCUAAUAACUAGGACCCCGUUGGGGCACUGGCGGGCCCAAGCUGUGUCACGUCCCCCCCCCAACGCGCUGCCUCCCCGUCCCAUUUGUGUCCUCUGGCCAUCGCCCUCUUUGGUAACGCCCAUCACUGCAAAGACCCUUUUCCUUCAUCGGCGUUUGCUGUUCUUCCUGCCAGUGCGUGUUGCUUUCACUUACACUUGCCACAGCCAGCCUCGUGAGUGCCUAGCCUAUUGGAUAUCACUGUCACCUACACAGGACAGUCAUUACCUUUCUAUUAAUACUUUGUGUUUUAAUUUCACAUUAAUUUCCAAAUUGUAUAAACGACUGGAAAAAACUUGAGCCCCUGCCCCUGUAUAAUCAUGUGCACGUCUCUGUUCUAGCUCUAAGGUAAAUCUUCACUGCUCAUGUUCUCCUCAGAAGCAGUCACCUCACUCCCCUCAGGUUACUGUACACAUGCACCAACUGCCUGCUUCAGGUUUGGAUGGAGCUUCAUGGUUGUCUUUUGGAGAAAUGACCAGUCAAGUUGUGUUUGAAAUUUGAUUUUUUUCAGGGGCAAAAGGAGCCUCUGCAUUCUUGUCAAAUAUGUAAAUAGCAUGUUUUUGCAGGUGCUACAAACCAGACUCUGAGUGUGUGUGUGUGCGUGUGUGUGUGUGUCUGUGUGUGUGUGUGUGUGUGUGUGUGUGCGCGUUCAAGUCACAUGACAUAUUUAACCGGAUGUAGCUGCAAGACGGAGCCUCGUUGACUCUCCGUUUCAAUUUAUCUCAAAAGUGAGGACCUCAACCUAUAUACCAGUUUUUAAAUUGUGUUGAUAGGCCAAAUAAAACCAGAGUUAUGAUAAAUUAUGUCCGCGAUACUUGUUUUCUGCUUAUUUUGAUCACGUUCGGCGCUCGAUCGCGCUGUAUGAGACAGGAAAACAUAGCAUGCAGACAUUAGCGACAGGUCUUACAGGCGGAAAAGGCUUGCCAAAGGAAAAAAAAUACACACCACAACAUCUCUCCUAUUGGUGGAAAACUUCACCACAACAACCAAUCCAAAAUUAUAUGGUGACUGAUUGACAAGGGGCGGGCGCUUACGUUCUUCCUGCAAUAUGAGAAGGGAGGGAGGGACUCUCAGCAGGGAUGCAGUCUGGGACACGUAGUUGCAAACCUAGCGACUUUGUUGUAGAUUCAAUGACUUUUCAGACCCCCUAACGACUUUUUUUUUAGAAAGAAAGGGACUUUUAUCGACUUCUUCUGGAGUUUAGAAACUCUGACAUGAAGCAGGCUUUCCUUACUGAGGAGUUAGCAACGCUGCUAAGGGUGCAGAGACACACAUGAGCUCCGAGCUCUGCAUGGGAGACUGAAGCUGACAGAGCUGCAGCAGUUAGCAGGUUUCACCCUCAGAGACCACCAGGGGUUCAUGUUGAGGCAUUUUCAGUUUUUUUUUUUUUUUUUUGCCAUAGACACUGUCAGCACAAUCUGCAGUUACACUAACAAAAAAGCUGCAAAAAACAAAGAAUUAUGGAAAAAUUACACAUGGACUGACAUAGAGGAGGAUCUACACAAGUUUUUUACAUCAUGUUUUACAUCAUGCAUCAUUUACAUCAUGUUUUUUUGUAGUGGCAUAAAUAAAAAGUGACAUUUGUGAGACUAUACAGUGUUUUGUAAAUAAUUUUACAAAGAACGCCUGGGCCAUUGCCUGCAUUUUGAUGUAAAUAGAGGUAAAUUACUAUGUUCUUUGUUAAAAAUUUGCAUAUGUUUUGAAGUUUACAAUUUUUAUUUGAAGUUUAAGUUUUAAAAACAGUUCAUCACACAUAUUUGUGGUUUUCACAGUAAAAAUGUUACUUUUUUCCACUCGGAUUUUAUGUUUUGUGUGUGAAUUUGGGUCCAUUGUGUAAAUACAGUAUGUCAAAAUGAUAAAAUAACUGUAAAUUCACACAGGUGAGGUUGUGCUGAAAAAAAUGAUACCAGGCAAGGCAAGGUAAAAAAAUUUUAAGAGGAAAUAUAAAGGUAAAAUCUAAAGUAGUCAAAAAAGGCCAAUAGUGACUCACAGACUCCACAGACUAGUCCCUUUGGCGCCACUCAGUGGGCAAAACUACUUUGUCUGCUGUAAUGUAUAUUUGGGUCAUCUUUGGCGCCCCCUAAAACGUAAACCGUGGGGUGCAGCGUCAUGAUUUUUACAACUUUGAAUGGCCAUGGAGUGUAGAUUGGCCUGAGCAAAUUUGGUGUCAGUGGGACGAAAGCCUUAGGAGGAGUUAGCGAAAUUCCAAUGUGUGCGAAUCGGCAAAAAAUGCAAAAUAGCCCUUUAACCGUACAUUUUACACUUACGUGCCCAUUGACUUUUUCAUAGAUCUUAUUGAGAUACAUGUGAUUGUCAAAUUUUUUGUCAAUAUGACAAAGCGUAAAGGCGUGACAGUCAACAACGUGUAUUUUCACCUUUCGGGAUAAGAAAAAAUGGACUUUUUUCUCCUGCCAUGGGGGGGCGCUCUUUUGGAGAGUUAAAAUUCCUUCACAAAUGUGUUGAUGGCUGGACAUUGCAUCAUCCUAGAAAACUUGGAGGCCAGUGAGGACAAAAAUAAAAAGUUAUAAGACUUUUAAGAAUGUGGAUUUUUGGGUUAUCUUUGGCGCCCCCUAGAACCUAAACCGUGGGGUGCAGCGUCAUGAUUUGUACAACUUUUAAUGGUCAUGGGGUGUAGAUUGGCCUGAGCAAAUUUGGUGCCGGUGGAACGAAAGCCUUCGGAGGAGUUAGCGAAAUUCCUAUGUGUGCGGAUCGGCAAAAAAAGCGAAAUAGCCCUUUAACCGUACAUUUGACAGAUACGCCCACACUGACUUUUUUGUAGAUCUUAUUGAGAUACACAUGUGUGUCAAAUUUUGUGUCAUUUUGACAAAGCGUACAGGUGUCAGGUGAGUUUUCACCAUAGGGGGCGCUAUGGAGCCAUUUUUCAUUUUUUUGUUUGAGCGACUUCAGAAUAUCAAAUUUUUCACCAGGCCCGGUCGUCCUGCCAAAUUUCCUGAGUUUUCGUCAGUGGGAAGUGGGCCAUUUUCCAGUUUAAAGCGGAGGAAAAAUAACGAAAGAAGAAUCCAUCAGGAACAAGAGGGCUCUCGCAGCUGCUUAGCAGCUACGCUCGGGCCCUAACUAGGGCCCCGGUGGGGCACUGUCGGGCCCGAGCCGCGUCGCGCCGCCCCCAGCGCGACGCCUCCCCCUCCCGAUCGCGUCACACUCAAGGUCCAAAGAUGGUGUGGGCACUUGUCUGUGGUCAUUUCCCAUUAUAAUGAAUGGGAGGCGCAGUUUCUACCAAAACGCUGGCUGCAGACAAACUACAUGUCCUAUUUGAAAAAAGUCUGGACCACGAGUGAGGGCACAAACACAGCUAGGAUAUGUCCAAAUGGCAAGUUGCUCCUCCUUACGGUGUUGCCGGGAGAGCGAUGCGAUUGAGCCAUUGAGCGAUGGGCAGGGUUAACUUGACUUUUUCUCCUGCCUUGGGGGGGGGGGGGGUGGAUUCUUUUAAGAAUGUGGAUAUUUGGGUCAUCUUUGGCGCCCCCUAGAACCUAUACCGUGGGGUGCAGCGUCAUGAUUUUUACAACUUUGAAUGGCCAUGGGAUGUAGAUCGGCUUGAGCAAAUUUGGUGUCGUUGGGACGAAAGCCUAAGGAGGAGUUAGCGAAAUUCCAAUGUGUGCAGAUCUGCAAAAAAUGCGAAAUAACCCUCUAACCGUACAUUUUACAGAUACGUGCCCAUCGACUCUUUCGUAGAUCUUAUUGAGAUACACGUGUGUGUCAAAUUUUGUGUCAUUUUGACAAAGCGUAUAGGCGUGACAGUCAACAAUGUGUAUUUUCACCUUAGGGGACAAGAAAAAAUGGACUUUUUUCUCCUGCCAUGUGGGGGCGCUCUUUUGGGGAGUAAAAAUUCCUUCACAAAUGUGUUGAUGGCUGGACAUUGCAUCAUCCUAGAGAACUUGGAGGCCAGUGAGGAAAAAAAUAAAAAGUUAUAAGACUUUUAAGAAUGUGGAUUUUUUGGUUAUCUUUGGCGCCACCUAGAACCUAAACCGUAGGGUGCAGCGUCAUGAUUUGUACAACUUUCGAUGGCCAUGGGGUGUAGAUUGGCCUGAGCAAAUGUGGUGCCGGUGGAACGAAAGCCUUCGGAGGAGUUAGCGAAAUUUCAAUGUGUGCGGAUCGGCAAAAAAUGCGAAAUAACCCUUUAACCGUACAUUUGACAGAUACGCCCGCACUGACUUUUUUGUAGAUCUUAUUGAGAUACAUGUGUGUGUCAAUUUUUGUGUCAAUAUGGCAAAGCGUACAGGCGUGACAGUCAACAGUGUGAAUUUCCACCUUAGGGGGCGCUAUGGAGCCAUUUUGCAUUUUAUUCUUUGGGUGACUUCAGAAUAUCGAAUUUUUCACCAGGCCCGGUCGUCCUGCCAAAUUUCAUGAGUUUUUGCCAGUGGGAAGUGGGCCAUUUUCCA
rnacentral:lncRNA from 1 species